GUCCGGGGGUCGAUUUAGCCAUGCUAGUUGCACGGGUUCAGACUCGUAGCAUAUAGCUCAGUAACACGUGGCCAAACUACCCUACAGACCGCGAUAACCUCGGGAAACUGAGGCCAAUAGCGGAUAUAACUCUCAGGCUGGAGUGCCGAGAGUUAGAAACGUUCCGGCGCUGUAGGAUGUGGCUGCGGCCGAUUAGGUAGAUGGUGGGGUAACGGCCCACCAUGCCGAUAAUCGGUACGGGUUGUGAGAGCAAGAGCCUGGAGACGGUAUCUGAGACAAGAUACCGGGCCCUACGGGGCGCAGCAGGCGCGAAACCUUUACACUGCACGACAGUGCGAUAGGGGGACUCCGAGUGUGAGGGCAUAUAGCCCUCGCUUUUCUGUACCGUAAGGUGGUACAGGAACAAGGACUGGGCAAGACCGGUGCCAGCCGCCGCGGUAAUACCGGCAGUCCAAGUGAUGGCCGAUAUUAUUGGGCCUAAAGCGUCCGUAGCCUGCUGUGUAAGUCCAUUGGGAAAUCGACCAGCUCAACUGGUCGGCGUCCGGUGGAAACUACACAGCUUGGGGCCGAAAGACUCAACGGGUACGUCCGGGGUAGGAGUGAAAUCCUGUAAUCCUGGACGGACCACCAAUGGGGAAACCACGUUGAGAGACCGGACCCGACGGUGAGGGACGAAAGCCAGGGUCUCGAACCGGAUUAGAUACCCGGGUAGUCCUGGCU
rnacentral:rRNA from 1 species